rnacentral:rRNA from 1 species
GACGAACGCUGGCGGCGUGCCUAACACAUGCAAGUCGAACGGGACUGAUUGAAGGAAGUUUUCGGAUGGAAUUUGAUUAGUUUAGUGGCGGACGGGUGAGUAACGCGUGAGGAACCUGCCUUUCAGAGGGGGAUAACGUCUGGAAACGGACGCUAAUACCGCAUGAUAUUUUAAAGCCGCAUGGUUUUAAAAUCAAAGGAGCAAUCCGCUGAGAGAUGGACUCGCGUCCGAUUAGCCAGUUGGCGGGGUAACGGCCCACCAAAGCAACGAUCGGUAGCCGGGCUGAGAGGCUGAACGGCCACAUUGGGACUGAGACACGGCCCAGACUCCUACGGGAGGCAGCAGUGGGGGAUAUUGCACAAUGGAGGAAACUCUGAUGCAGCAACGCCGCGUGAGGGAAGAAGGUUUUCGGAUUGUAAACCUCUGUCCUCAGGGACGAUAAUGACGGUACCUGAGGAGGAAGCUCCGGCU